AGAGAAGCCCGGAUGACUAGAUGAAGACGAGAUAUAAAAAGCCAUCAUCUCCAUUUGUGCCGAUGGGCUUCCGUUUACCAGUCAUCGGGAUGUGUUUGUGUGUGUGUGUUGCUGAGAAGCACGCACAAUACAACCGCUGUGGCGUCAGCUGGAUUCUGUUGUUACGCUCACGCAGCCAGACUCUCCGCCGGCGACAACGUCGCGACUUCGAAACGAGCUUAAACGGCGAACCUACACCCUCCAGGGUGUUGAAUCCGGAAUGGCGGCCGCGUGAACAAAUAUCCUCCUUGCCGCCACACAAUGAACGGCUUAAGACAACGAUGUGUACCUCAGGUAGAGCGAAGACAAAAGCGGACUUUUCAAGUGUUCACCCCCCCCCCCCUCCCCUGAGAAUUCUGCGUGACCAGAUGGGACAUCCGGUGACUCGCCGAUCAUGCAAAUCUGAUAAGGCAAGGUCAUGUAAAGUUCACACAUCGGACACGUUCCUAAGUCCGCCUCUCCAAAACAAGAACUGUAGCGAGAUCUCCUUUUAUAAAAGCAGAUAAAACAGAACGGGCAUCUUCAGUCGCGCCUCUAAAGCGCAACAUCCUAAAAAGUCUCCCACUUUGGGAAAAUAUGACGGCUUUGAGAGUAAUUCUCAUUGUGCAGCCGCAUUUAAUAUUGCGGGCCCAUUUCUGGGCGCAUGUGUAUAAAUACGUUGAGGACAUAAAGCAGCGGGGGGGGCUCCUCUUCAGCAAUAAUGAGUAGAUCGAAAGCCGGCUCCGAGCACAAUGUUCCUCUGACUUGACUGUCUGGAAUACAAGCAUAUCUGGAGCACCCGAGGACACACACACACAGACACACACACACACAUGCGCAAUAGCUCUCUAUAGCGGCGUCAAAUCACAACAUCACUGUUGAGGAAUGGGAGCUGUCAAUUUGCUCUUGGUCCUUCCUUGGUUACAGAUUCUUUUAUCUCUCUAUAAGGUGGAAGAAGACCCAACACCACGUAGUCUUUUCUUAAGUUUAUCACAACGCAACACGAAUCGAUUCGGGCUCCUGUGAGUCUCAGAUUUCAUCAGGAAGCCCCGAGCAACUACAGUCACACGUACAUAUAGGCAUAGUAUGUUAAUUAUGUUAAUUAGGGGCGGGCAGUCCUUCCCCUUAUGUAAAAAC